rnacentral:rRNA from 1 species
UGAGUAACACGUGGACAAUCUGCCCCCCGGCCCGGGAUAGCCCAGGGGAAACCUGGAUUAAGUACCGGAUGAGACGGGACCCGCGAUGGCGGGACCCGGGAAAGGCGCUGCGGCGCCGCCGGGGGAUGAGUCUGCGUCCCAUUAGCUAGACGCGGGGUAACGGCCCACCGUGGCGACGAUGGGUAGCCGGCCUGAGAGGGUGGACGGCCACAUUGGAACUGAGACACGGUCCAGACUCCUACGGGAGGCAGCAGCUAAGAAUCUUCCGCAAUGGGCGAAAGCCUGACGGAGCGAACCGCCGCGUGAACGAAGAAGGCCGUGAGGUUGUAAAGUUCUUUUCGGGAGGGGGAACAACCGUGGCAGGGAAUGGCCGCGGGAUGACGUGAAUCCCGGAAUAAGCCCCGGCUAACUACGUGCCAGCCGCCGC